rnacentral:rRNA from 1 species
GACGAACGCUGGCGGCGUGCCUAAUACAUGCAAGUAGAACGCUGAAGGAGGAGCUUGCUUCUCUGGAUGAGUUGCGAACGGGUGAGUAACGCGUAGGUAACCUGCCUGGUAGCGGGGGAUAACUAUUGGAAACGAUAGCUAAUACCGCAUAAUAGCAGUUAUUGCAUGAUAACUGUUUGAAAGGUGCAAUUGCACCACUACCAGAUGGACCUGCGUUGUAUUAGCUAGUUGGUGGGGUAACGGCUCACCAAGGCGACGAUACAUAGCCGACCUGAGAGGGUGAUCGGCCACACUGGGACUGAGACACGGCCCAGACUCCUACGGGAGGCAGCAGUAGGGAAUCUUCGGCAAUGGACGGGAGUCUGACCGAGCAACGCCGCGUGAGUGAAGAAGGUUUUCGGAUCGUAAAGCUCUGUUGUAAGAGAAGAACGAGUGUGAGAGUGGAAAGUUCACACUGUGACGGUAUCUUACCAGAAAGGGACGGCUAACUACGUG